AAGCAACAGUCUGGAGCUGACAGAAGCCUUACUAAGCACACGGCUGCUGAAACAACAAAACGUGCCACCAACCCUACUCCUUUUGCUCUGUGACAUUCUCAGCUUCUAGGCUAGGAUGGAGGGAGGCUGUGCCUGGGAGAGAUGCCUGCAGGAGCAGGGAGGUUUGGUGGAACCAGUUGACUUUUUACCCACCCCAAUUUAAGAAACUCCUUUGGAAGAAAAUGGAAAUAAGUCAAGGAGUCCAACACAUGGAUGAACAGAUUGGACUCCACUCAGCCACACAAGAACUGCCCAAAUACCUGUACUGCCGCCACAAAGUGGAUUCCCACAGUGUAAAGCAACAACUUCAAAGAGCAUGUAGACGGACAACCAUCUGAAGGCUCUGCCAGCACCCAACUAGCCACAGAAUCAUGCGGGCACCUCAUGUCCCCUGACAUCUAGAGAGGACAGGAUGAAGUGGCAUUGAGAACAGCUUCAUUCAACUCACAGUACUGAGUGCUAAAACCAGCUCUAAAUACUUUUCAACACCUGCUAGUGUACAUAUACAUACACAUUUCAGAGCCAAGGUGUAAAUGUGAUCAAAAGCACUAAUAAGAUUAUUAGUGAUAGCCUGGUUAACCUCCAUAAUUUCAAGUUCACAGGAUACCAUCGAUCUUUUCUUAGUAGUGAUUACUAUGAACUCUGAAGCAGUGACUGAUAAAGAAGCAAAAAACAACUAGAAAUAUUGCACAAGGAUUCUUUGUAGGCCUGCAGGAUUACCACUGCUUACUGCAUUCUCUUGAAAUACAGCCCCGGUACAGUACAACUUCUGUAUUUAAAGAUGCUGAGGUUUUAGGCUAAGACUGAAAUAUAUGUGAUCAUUUCCAACUACUGCAAAUGGAAUGGGAGAAAAGUUAACAGCCAGAAGAGACUCAGAUUCCCAAUUAAACUCUUACGUACAUGAACCACUCUGAAAACAAGUAUUGUUAAGCAGUCAUGAGAAAACUUGGUCACAGUUCAUCAGAUUAAAACUAGAGGAUCAGACACAGGCAGUCAUAUGCAGAUAACUUAGAUAUCAAAACCCUGAGGUGGACUCUCACAUACAUGAACCACUCUGAAAACAAGUAUUGUUAAGCAGUCGUGAGAAAACUUGGUCACAGUUCAUCAGAUUUAAACCAGAGGAUCAGAGACAGGCAGUCAUAUGCAGAUAACUUAGAUAUCAAAACCCUGAGGUGGAGCUCUUCAACCUUUCUCACACCAGGCUGAGGUCUGUGCAUCACAGAGGAUGAAAACCACCACAAUCAUUUUUAUGCAGCUGUGAGAAAGCCAAGCUGAUGAUCAGCCACAUUCAUUCAACCUUUCUGCAAAUUAUAUGAAGCGUUAGUCAUUCCUCAGCAUUUUUAUAUCAUUUUUCAAAAUGCAUCCAAUUCUUAUACAAGUGGCCAGGACAGGAUCGCAGUAAGAAACAGUAGUGUUCCAGGAACACUAGGUUCUUAUCAUCCUGGCAUGGCCUGCAUAAACUCAUAAAAUGCCAAAACUUUCUAAAGCAGGUGGUUAGAAAUGGGGUGAAUGAGAGGUUAUUUGCACAGAUUCAUUGUUUUUGGCAAUAGGAGCAGAGAACACCUCUAGUAAGAGUGAACCUCAAAUCUCUGAGGAGCUGUGAUGGUGUUCCAGGUUCCUCUGCAGCAGAUUAUUCCUCUGCAGUAGAAUAAAGACUACGAAGACAGUCUGGACCUUGUGGUAGAGACUGCUUACUAAAGGUUCUUGUUUGCUUUCAAACAUGUUAGCUGCAUAUACAAUCAGAAUUAGUUUUAGAAAAGCUACGUAACCUCUUAUGUAGUGUGUGGAGUUUUGAUUUUUUUGGCAGGUGCUACAUUAGCACAGAAAUGAGAAGCCUCGUGCAGAAAGGAGAUGAGUUAUCUCAGCUUUCUUCAUCUGAAGGAGUCCUCUUGAUCCAGUGUCACUACUGGUUUUCUUCCAAGAACCUAUCACCUGUGUUAAUAACUCCACAUCUCUAUCCUACACCAACAUACGCCUCUUUGUUGUGAACUGCGGCAAGUAUAAGCCUGAUAGCUGUGAGUGAAGUCAAAAGCAUUGGUCAUCAGGUCUGCUACUGCUAGGCACCCACCCAGUUUCCAGCUCUUGACAAAGCCAUGUGAAAGCCUGAAAUCAAUCAGUGCCUCAUUGCAAACAAGCUGAAGCCAGGGCCCCUGCACAGACACAUCCUUGCUUUAACAUCACAGGAUGCUAAGAACCCCACCUUCUGCAGAGGAGAAUCACCUGCUGUCAGCUAAACAGAAGGUUUGUAACAACAGGGCAAAGAACUAUUUUACACACCGCUUGUAACCCUCAAACAUGAAAUAAAAGUAAUGGUUAUUAU
ensembl:lncRNA